UGCCGCGUGUGUGAAGAAGGCCUUCGGGUUGUAAAGCACUUUCAGUAAGGAGGAAAGGUUAAGUGUUAAUAGCACUUAGCUGUGACGUUACUUACAGAAGAAGCACCGGCUAACUCCGUGCCAGCAGCCGCGGUAAU
rnacentral:rRNA from 1 species